rnacentral:lncRNA from 1 species
GGCCGGCUUGGGUCCAGGGUUUGCGACUUCCUCCUCGUCCGGCGGCGCCCAUGGUCGGCAUCGGUCUGCCUAGUCGUUAAUGAGUUGCUGUCGGACGGGUGUUCGGUCACUAUUUGCCUGAAAAUCUGGUGGGAUGUGGUUUUGGCUUGUGGUCUGGCUCGGUGGUCUGACGAUGAGCACUGGACAAAAUCUAGAGUGCGGUGGGGGCGAUGAGGCGAGGGCGGGCUUCGUUGGGGCACCUCCAGGAUCAGCGACAUGAUGGUGGGGUGCUGGAUCGACAUCUUGGGAGGCUAGGUUAGGGGCGGCGUAGCUCAGUCGGGCUUCGACGUGGGCGUGGUGGUGAGUCCGGCGUGGACUUGAGGCGGCGAGGUCUGGCUCUGGAUCUGUGGCGAGGUACGGCGUUGAGGCGGCGAAGUUCGGCUGUGGUUUGCAGCGACGAAGUCUGGCGCUAGGUAGCGAUGGUCGACGACCAGUGUGGCUAGAAAUUGUCUUUCGGCUCGGGUUGGACCAUUCUUGUUGGGCCUGGGUCAAGUCGUCUCUUGGGCUUUUGGGCUGCUUGUUUUGGGCUGGAUUGUGAUCUAGGCCCUCCUAUUUAGUUUAGUCAUUUUGAUUAAAAUAAUUCCCUACUUUGUUAGGGAGCUAUGCUUCUAGUUUUUUUUAGUGAGCGUCAUCAAGUCUAGUUUACUCGGCCUUUACUAUGUAGUAGUUAAUAGUGUAUAGGCUUCCUUUCGGAGCAUGAAACUGUCAAAUGAUUGGACCUAAUCUAUGUAUCACUGUGCUACUACCACAAACUCUUUAUCUACCCCUUGAUGGUAGAGGGAGGAUAUGUAAUGGCCAUUUCUGGCUUUCAAUGAAUGAUAGUCGCCCUA